rnacentral:rRNA from 1 species
GACGUAGGGCGCGAGCGUUGUCCGGAUUUAUUGGGCGUAAAGAGCUCGUAGGCGGCUUGUCGCGUCGGCUGUGAAAUCCCGUGGCUCAACUGUGGGCGGGCAGCUGAUACGGGCAGGCUGGAGUUCGGGUAGGGGAGACUGGAAUUCCUGGUGUAGCGGUGAAAAUGCGCAGAUAUCAGGAGGAACACCGGUGGCGAAGGCGGACUCUGGGCUGUUCUGACGCUGAGGCGCGAAAAGCUAGGGGGAGCGAACAGG